rnacentral:rRNA from 1 species
GUGGGGAAUAUUGGACAAUGGGCGCAAGCCUGAUCCAGCAAUGCCGCGUGGGUGAAGAAGGUCUUCGGAUCGUAAAGCCCUUUCGACAGGGACGAUGAUGACGGUACCUGUAGAAGAAGCCCCGGCUAACUUCGUGCCAGCAGCCGCGGUAAUACGAAGGGGGCUAGCGUUACUCGGAAUUACUGGGCGUAAAGGGCGCGUAGGCGGCUCUGUUAGUCAGGCGUGAAAUUCCUGGGCUUAACCUGGGGACUGCGCUUGAUACUGCAGGGCUUGAGGACGAGAGAGGGUGGUGGAAUUCCCAGUGUAGAGGUGAAAUUCGUAGAUAUUGGGAAGAACACCGGUGGCGAAGGCGGCCAUCUGGACCAGCACUGACACUGAGGCACGAAAGCGUGGGGAGCAAACAGGAUUAGAUACCCUAGUAGUCC